GACGGAGGAUGCAAGUGUUAUCCGGAAUCACUGGGCGUAAAGCGUCUGUAGGUGGUUCGAAAAGUCCACUGUUAAAAAUUGAGGCUUAACUUCAAAGAUGCCGUGGAAACUUUCAAACUAGAGUAUGGUAGGGGUAGAGGGAAUUUCCAGUGGAGCGGUGAAAUGCGUAGAUAUUGGAAAGACCACCGAUGGCGAAGGCAUUCUACUGGGCCAUUACUGACACUGAGAGACGAAAGCUAGGGGAGCAAAUGGG
rnacentral:rRNA from 1 species